UACGAAGGGGGCUAGCGUUGCUCGGAAUCACUGGGCGUAAAGCGCACGUAGGCGGACUCUUAAGUCGGUGGUGAAAUCCUGGAGCUCAACUCCAGAACUGCCUUCGAUACUGGGAGUCUCGAGUUCGGGAGAGGUGAGUGGAACUGCGAGUGUAGAGGUGAAAUUCGUAGAUAUUCGCAAGAACACCAGUGGCGAAGGCGGCGACCUGGACGGACAUUGACGCUGAGACGCGAAAGCGUGGGGAGCAAACAGG
rnacentral:rRNA from 1 species